rnacentral:lncRNA from 10 species
AGAGGCUGGAUUGUAGUAGGGGUAGAGGAAGCUCAGUGUUAAAUCUGAAGCUAAACUGAAGAAACUAUGUGGUCUCUUACGACUGGUUGCCACAACAGAUGUUGCCAGGUGUCCUUGGAUAGUGACCUCCCAUAUGAAGCCACUUUCCUCUGAUCAGGCCUGACAGCUUCACACUGUGGAGGGAGCUGAGAACAAUAAUCUUUCAAGGAACAGAAAACCAGACGCCACAUGUUCUCACUUAUAAGUGGGAGCUAAACAAUGAGAACACAUGGACACAGGGGGGGGAACAACACACACUAGGGCCUGUUGGGGGUGUGGGGUCAGGGGAGGGAGAGCAUUGGGAAAACUAGCUAACACAUACUGAGAUUAAUACCUAGGUGAUGGGUUGAUUGGUGCAGCAAACCACCAUGGCACAUGUUUACCUAUGUAACAAACCUUCACAUCCUGCACAUGUACCCCAGAACCUAAAAGUAAAAUUAAAAUAAAAAAA